AUGAGGGGUAGGCGUGGUCAUGGCGGCUGGAGCAAUGCUUGCAGCAUUGGGAGCCAAAGCCAUGGCAAUGCAGUCCCCAACAUCAGACUAGACAUGCCAAGAUCCACUGGGGACGGAAAGGGGUCUUACGGAGGGGGACGGGAGGGGGUGGCACAGAUAGUUUUGGUGGGGAUCGAAGAGCUUCUCCCGGACAAAACCUGCAUGCCAAACGGGCCGUCGGGGAUUUUUGAGAGUUUCAAGGUUGAUGAUAACUUCAAGGUUGUAAAGGUAAAGCUGAGCAAGGAAGAUCUAAUAGAAAUCUCGGCUGCUGUCCCUGCUGGCGACGUGGCUGGGUCGAGGGUCAUGGGAAUCUUGGAGCCUUAUUCUUGGAGGAUUGCAAACACUCCACCUCAAAAGUAG
rnacentral:rRNA from 1 species